rnacentral:tRNA from 1 species
CGGGGUGUAGCGCAGUCUGGUAGCGCAUCUGGUUUGGGACCAGAGGGUCGGAGGUUCGAAUCCUCUCACCCCGACCA